rnacentral:tRNA from 1 species
CGCGCGCAGCGUAUCGAUCGCCCGCGUCUGCAGUGCGCGCCAGUGCGCCCGGGCAAUCACCGCGCCGUCGUUCGACGCGGCGUCGCGCGGCC